UAUAUGGUGUUGAGUGUUGUGGGGAAUGC
rnacentral:sRNA from 1 species